rnacentral:piRNA from 1 species
UUUGAACUUGGCAUCGCCAUCCUUAGCUGU